rnacentral:lncRNA from 1 species
CGGGAGAACGCCAUCUUGGAUUGACAAUCUCAGAAACUUGAGGAAAUUGCAAAUCUAUGACUGCAUCUUCUCUGGGCCUAUACCAUCAACAAUUGGGAAUCUGAUGAAUUUGACAGAUUUGGCACUUCAGAAUUGUGGUUUUUCUGGAAGAAUACCAGCAUGGGUUGGUAAUUUAACCCAACUAUCUUAUUUGGACCUUGACACGAAUCAUCUGAGUGGUAAGUCUACAUACCAAAAUAUUAUUCCAAUCACCACAAAUCUAUGAUGUAACUGCACAAUUUAGUUUUAUGAGAUUUUUUAUUGAAAAGAAGUGUUUUACUUAGAUUUAUUUAUUGAAAUAAGUGUUUUAAUGAGAUUUUUCUUUUCAAAAAUAUUAUUGCACGGAAAUCACAUUUGAAUGUGUUAUGGGUGCUUUAAAAAUUCAUUUGAUGGACCUAUAUACAGUGUACUAUAGGAUUACACCCACCAAGUUAGUGGUUAGUUCUGAUUAAGUGGUCAAUAUGGGAAUAUACUGUUUCAUUUAUUUAGUUUUGGUUACUUCAAAAAAACUGGAAAGUGAAGAUCAGGGGCCAAUUAACCUAAGAGCGAGCGUGCCGGCGAAUACGAACCAAGGCCCCGAGAUAGUUAUAACAGUAUAGGGGCCAAUUAACACAAAAUCCUUUUUAUCCAGUAUUAAUUUGGAACCACGUGCAUCUAAAGCAUCCUUUACAAAAAUCAAUGUAGUUGUAUGCAACCUAGAGCAAUAGCAUGAAGAACACGACACGAACACGAAGAACAGUUAGAACAGAACGUAAUAGGAACACAAGCUAGGAAACAAAGCGGAGUCGAGAACAGAAUCACAGUAGAUGUAAAUGAUAGCCCUUUGGGUCAGAUUGUUUUGCAUUGAAUUAGUUUAACUUGUCCUGUCGCCAGUGGGCCAGGGAAGGUACAGCGGCCAAAGAAAUACACAAGCUGUCAAGCUAUUCUGCUGGUGGCGACAUUUCGUAGAUCCGUAGAGGAAGUUGUGCUUAGCACCGACGAUUGUAUGAUAUCAAUAUGUUACGCAUGUGAAUCCUAUUCUGGUAACUUUAUUUCUGAUGCAAAUGAAGAAGAAUGAUUGGAGCAGAUUUUAACUGAACUGACAUUUAUUUUGCUUAUUCUCAGGGGAAAUACCAGAUUCCAUAUUUACUCUUCCAGCAUUACAGAUGCUGGAUCUUUCUUCAAAUCGACUUUCUGGCAAGCUAAGGGACUUUCUUGCUUCAUCUUCUUCCUUGUAUUGGAUUGACAUGACUGACAAUGAAUUGGAUGGGUCAAUAAAGUCACUCAGCCAACUAAAAAGAUUGCAUGCACUCUUUCUCGGUUCUAAUAACUUCAUGAUAGAUCAGGUAGAGCUCAAUUCGUUGUUGGGAUUAAGAGAACUCCGGGCACUGGACCUGUCAAAUAAUAGGCUGUCAGUAAUAGAGGUGACAGAUGGACAAGGAGUUUCAGUUCCUUCUGUAUCUCGACUUCAAGUUUUGGACCUAGCAUCCUGCAACCUAACUAAAAUUCCAGAUUUUCUACAGUUUCUGCACCAUGUCGGUUACUUGGAUAUUUCUAAUAACCAUAUUUCCGGCAGUAUACCUAAGUGGAUAUGGGACAAUUGGAGUAAUACACUUCUCUAUCUGAACUUGUCAAACAACAAUUUUUCUAGCAUGGAACUAUCUUCGCCUUUUCUUCCAAAAGCCCUACAAAUUAUUGAUCUUAGCUCCAAUAGACUCCAGGGAAAGGUCCCUAUUCCACUGAAGCCAACAAACCUACAGUUCUUGGACUACUCAAAUAACAGAUUCUCAUCAAUCUUAAAAAACUGCACCUCAUGCCUUGGAAAAACUUUCUACCUUAAGAUGGCAAAUAAUAGAAUAAGAGGAGAGAUCCCACACUUCAUUUGCAACGCGAGCAAGCUUGUAAUUCUUGAUUUAUCUAAUAACAGUUUCAGUGGAACGAUUCCAUCAUGUCUAAUACAAGGUGGCCAUCUCAGCAUAUUGAAUUUGAGGGACAAUCACCUCGAAGGAAGACUAGCAUCUAGGGUUGACAAGAGAUGCGCUCUUCAGACAAUAAAUUUGGGUGGAAAUAGGAUUGGAGGUCAACUUCCCUGGUCACUUUCUAACUGCAAGGAUUUGGAGUUUCUCGAUCUGGGUAACAACCAAAUUGUUGACUCUUUUCCACAUUGGUUGGGAAAGCUUCCCAAGCUUCGCAUUCUGGUCUUGAGAUCAAACCAGCUCCAUGGCACAAUAGAAAAUUCUCCAGGAGAUGAUGACUAUGGAGAACACUUUUCAAGUAUGCAAAUAAUUGACGUUGCCUCGAACUAUUUCUCUGGCAAUCUGAGGUCACCAUGGUUUGAAAAUUUACAGUCUAUGAUCAAAAGUUCUGAUUUCGAAGGAGACAUUAUAAAAGCUCAAAACGUGACAGGAUCUUAUCAAGAUAUUGUCACCGUAAUGUUCAAAGGGCAGUACAUGACAUUCGAGAAGAUAUGGACCACUCUUACAAUGAUCGACUUCUCGGAUAAUGCAUUCACUGGUUCCAUUCCUGAAUCAUUUGGAAGACUUGGUCAACUACAUGGACUCAACCUGUCAAAUAACAUGUUGACAGGAGAAAUUCCAGCACAACUAGGUGGUAUGACUGCUCUGGAGUCAAUGGAUCUAUCUUCAAACGAGCUUUCUGGGGAGAUACCAGAGGAGCUGACAGACCUCACUUCUCUAGGUACCUUGAAUUUGUCCAACAACCAAUUCAUCGGAAAAAUACCGGAAUCGCGCCAAUUUGGAACGUUCCAGAACAAUUCGUAUGAAGGGAAUGCAGGACUGUGUGGACCGCCCUUGUCCAAACAGUGUGACAGCCAAGGAGGUGGACCAAUUGGAGUGCUUGCGAGCAAGUCCUCAGAUCAGGUUGAUGUCAUUUUGUUUCUCUUCAUCGGCAUAGGAUAUGGCCUUGGGUUUGCAGCAGGUUUACUAAUCAAAUGGAGUCGCAUAGGCAAGUGGUUCAGGACAACAAACACGUCUUGAUAGUGCGCAAGCAAAGGUUUGUCUGCGGAGUGCAACUAUGCCUAUGCUGAAUUUUGAAGUAUUUGUUGUACUUACAUUGUUGUUAUCAGCACCUGCAGCUUCAUAAUUGCAGCAAAAAAAAAUGUCUCUACUGCAAGUUGUCUUUCUGUUGCUAUCAGUGUCUGUACUCAGCAAUCAAAACUUUGUACUACGUGAUUUGCAUGUUCAAGAACGAUCUAAAUUUCCGUAUAUUUUUAAGGCAGAUUUUAUUUCGGAUGAAAACCUAAAAUGUACAUGAAAAUUAGUUCUGGGCUCACAUUAGCGAUAUGUACAUAUAGGUAAAGGAAGAACAAUUGUAAAAUUCAGAUUUCAUAUAUUACAUGUCUUAAUUGAACCAGAGUCCAGAAACAGGACCAUAAUAAGCUGAACAGAAACAAAUGAUUCUGAAUCUGAAUGAACAAGCAUGCCAAGAAGAGAAGAGACCUGUGAACCUCUCUUGUUCUCGAGGUGGGUGCUCCAUUCCCGCCAGCCAUGGUCUACCUUGAGUGAUUCUUCCGCCCAUCACGAUCACGAUGCCUCCAACGGCCGGCUCCUGCGCCCUCCUUCCUUGGCGGAGCAUCUAGGCGACGCGCCGCCCAAUGUCGUGGUGCCCCCACCCGCGACUUGACGGCUGCGGCGAAAGGACGUGGCCGGCGGCGCGUAGAAGGCCGCCGGAUUCCCAUAAAAAAGAAGCGUGCGGCAGCAGCGCAUCUCCGCCGGUCGCCGGAGAGGGAAGGGGAAAGGCUUCGAAGAAAAAAGGGUAGCGGGGAUGAUACUUGAGCCGGUCUUUCUACGCUCUUGUACAAGGCGACCAAAAAGAGCAAAAUGCACCGUAGCUUGUAAAACUACGAA